CCGCCUUUGAAUCCCUUCAUUCUCUCAAAUUCUCUCAAUUCCUCUCCGAAACCCUAGCCCCUUUCCACCGGUUUCCACUUUAUGUCACUGGAAACCAUGGCAUCUCAGGCCCUGGGUGUCCUGUACACACCUCACGUGCCCUUAUACUCAUGUUACGUGAAGUUUCAAGGUCUGACCUUUGAGACCCUGGCUCAUAGUUCCUCUGAUUCAGGUUCUAUGGCCAUCUCCAGCUCAUCUCCGGCGUGUCCUAGCACUACGAGUUCAUCUCUGACUCGUUCGACUCUGACCAGCCCCUUUCCAGGCCUUUCUCAUCUUCUAGGGUUUCUUUGAAACCCCAAGCCAUUUCAAGGUUUUCCUGUUUCUCUCUAGAUGUGCUUUAGAUCCGUGUUAUUUUUGAGGUUUUCAAAGUAUUUCUUACAUCAUUUCAAGUUUUUGCUUUCAAAAAUGUUCGUCUUCUCAAACCUAGGGUUUCCUCAAUUUUACUUGUUCUACUAUAAUUUCUUACGUUAUUUUACGGCAUCUUGCUUUACUGUAACUCCUAAGUAUUAUCACCAUAAUUUCCACAAGUCUUCUUUUACUGUGAUUCCGCUAAGGGUUUCCUAGUGAUUUCUUUUACGGUGUUUUCUUUCAUUCUGCUUCCAUGAAAUGUGCAUGUUGCUUGGGCUUCCUAAGUUUACUUUACCUGAUUUUCUAUGCUUUCGUAUUUACAUUUAAUCUGUGGAGGAAACCCUAGAUUUUGGGGUGCUUCACACCACUUAUGUGCAAUUGGGUUGCUUCCUGUUUGAUUUUAAAACCCCAAUUUCUAAAAUUUGUCUCAUGUUCUCUGAUUCUUGAUAAGCUUUUCAAGACCUUCUGAGUUCUCUCAUAGCUAUGUUCUUCUACUUAGGAUUACAUGACCACUCGAUUUGCUUAAUUCUAGCCUCGCGUGUUUACAAUUCAUGCACUCCUUAUAGUGAGACCUUUUUCAUAGUCCUAAUUUUUGGGGAUUGAUUUCAGACUACUAUUAUGUGAGCUUAUUUGAUUCUUCCCUUGUCUAAUUUGGAUCUAUUUUCUGGCUUAAUUCAUUAGUGAGUUUGAAUCUUUAAUUCCUUGAUUUACUAUGUGUUAAUUGAUUUUAUUCUUACCUUACUUACCUGAACUGCGUAUUUGAAGAACUUCUCUUAUGUAUUUACCCCUUAUUGCACAAUGUGUUAUUGAUUUUCUUUCCUUAAAUAAAACCCUGCCCUUUACUAUUCUAGGCCGACUCCUUAAUUAAGGGAAUUCCUUUCUACUGUCUGAUUGAUACUGAAUUAUUUUUUUGCCUUGCUUACUUGCCUGGUUUCAAACUAUAAAUACCCUACUCUUCUUCUUUAAACACACGAACAAUUGAGUUCAAAAACACACACACACACACUCAAAGCUUCUCUUCUCUGCAUUCUACUGAGCAUUCUAUACUCCUGCUGCUUGAACUCCUACACAUUUGGAAGUUUUCUUGAGUCUAUUCCUAUUUAUUUCUGGCUCUCUGUUUGUUGUUGUUAGUCUGAUAUCCUAGAAUUACAACCGGUAUGCCCUUCGAUGUUCUAUAAGCAUCCUUAUUCAAUUUCUCUGCUUCUACCGCUUUCGUUGGGUGUUCAUUUAUGCUUUCCUACACUAUUUAAUUACUUUCAACCAUGUUAAUCCCUUUACCCUGUUCCCUUUGUAUGUGAGUUUGUCCUGGGUCAUAACAGCAUUAUGAAUUGCUGUAUGUGAUUCGGAACUAGACUCUUUUGAUUCUCUACUCGUGUGCUUUCCCAUUCCAUUUUCCCCAAUGUGUUGAGCUCUAACUUGG
rnacentral:lncRNA from 1 species